CUCCCAUUAGCCUGGCCAAGAAAUUCAGCUCUUCUUUAGCAAGAGGGUUUGGAGCAAUGCUUUCCUGCAGAAACAGUUGCAUGAUUUUUAGCCACAAGAAGGCGAUCACAUUUCCUGCUAAAACCCCAGAGACACAGAAAAACACCUGGGGAGGCUGGCUGGCAAUGCCUCCUCUUGUGAAGAGCAACAUGUAUCACUGAAAAGACAAGCAGCUUUACAGAAACGGUUGUUUUUCUGGUACAGCAGCUCCUGGGUGUUCCUGGGGCUGCCCAUUGACUUACUCGGAUGUGCAGGUCUUGGAAGAAGAUGAGGAGUGUCUGCCGGAUCAGCUGGAACUCCCCUGCAGAAAGACCACCAUAUAUCUGCCAAAGGCAAGCAGAAAGUAGAACUUCACUUUCAAAGAGGGAUG